rnacentral:rRNA from 1 species
CCUACGGGAGGCAGCAGUGAGGAAUAUUGGUCAAUGGGCGUAAGCCUGAACCAGCCAAGUCGCGUGAGGGAUGAAGGUUCUAUGGAUCGUAAACCUCUUUUAUAAGGGAAUAAAGUGCGGGACGUGUCCCGUUUUGUAUGUACCUUAUGAAUAAGGAUCGGCUAACUCCGUGCCAGCAGCCGCGGUAAUACGGAGGAUCCGAGCGUUAGCCGGAUUUAUUGGGUUUAACGGGUGCGUAGGCGGCCUUUUAAGUCAGCGGUGAAAGUCUGUGGCUCAACCAUAGAAUUGCCGUUGAAACUGGGGGGCUUGAGUAUGUUUGAGGCAGGCGGAAUGCGUGGUGUAGCGGUGGAAUGCUUAGAUAUCACGCAGAACCCCGAUUGCGAAGGCAGCCUGCCAAGCCAUGACUGACGCUGAGGCACGAAAGCAUGGGGAUCAAACAGGAUUAGAUACCCUAGUAGUC